rnacentral:lncRNA from 1 species
ACAAUUUUAAUUACUUAAUGAAAACGAAUUUUCAGCAAUUAGCACAAGUACGUGCUCGUCACCUCACGUACGAGGCAUUUCAAAUAUCACAAUACCAAAUCCUAAGGGGAGAUUCUCUCGUACAAGGUUAGACAAGCCACUUAGCUUGGACCGGCUCAAUAAUCAACCCGAAAACACAUUCUUUCCAUGACUAUUCGACUCCAAAUGUCC